GUGAGGAAGGGGGUGACUAGUGACAGAGUGAGGAAGGGGGUGACUAGUAACAGAGGGAGGGGUGACUAGGGACAGAGUGAGGGAGGUGGUGACUAGUGACAGUCACCACCUCCCUCACUCUGUCACUGUGUCACCCCCUCCAUCUGUCACUGGUCAUCCACUCCCUCCCUCCCUCCCUCUGUCACUGGUCACCCACUCCCUCCCUCACUUUGUCACCAGUCAUCCCCUCACUCUGUCACUAGUAACCCCUUCCUUCCCUCAC
rnacentral:sRNA from 1 species